rnacentral:rRNA from 1 species
UACGUAGGGGGCAAGCGUUGUCCGGAUUCAUUGGGCGUAAAGAGCGUGUAGGCGGCCAGGUAGGUCGGUUGUGAAAACUGGAGGCUCAACCUUCAGAGGUCGACCGAAACCAUCUGGCUAGAGUCCGGGAGAGGAAAGUGGAAUUCCUGGUGCAGCGGUGAAAUGCGCAGAUAUCAGGAAGAACACCCGUGGCGAAAGCGGCUCUCUGGAACGGUACUGACGCUGAGACGCGAAAGCGUGGGGAGCGAACAGG